rnacentral:lncRNA from 1 species
CAUCACAAUGGUGUGAACAUAUGCAGGAGUGGCAAGUAUGCUUGAGGAAGAAGGAUUCAGCAGCAAUGCUGGGCUCCCUUAUAACAAAGUAUUCUCAUGGGAAUGAACCUGGUCCUGAAAAGUCUAUAUUGAUCUAUUCCAAGAGUAAGGACUCCAAUGACCUAAUUACCUCCUGCUAGGCUCCACCUCUUACAGAUUCCACCACAACACUGAUUCACUCGGGACCAAGAUUCCAGCACAUGACUAUAUCCAAACCAUAGCAAGAGGGGAUGACUGUACUUAAAACUCUGCCUAACCCAAGAAACAAGAAAAAGACAAAUAGUGGCCCAACCCAAAUGCCCAGAGCAGCACAAUUCCUGCCUAUGCUGAAGCUUCAGUUGGAAGCCACACUGCAUCACCAGGAGCCCAUGCUACAGCCUCCAAAAACACAGCACUGCCUUGUCUCAGGGAAUGUAAGUGAGCAAACAGCCCUGAUCCCACAGCAGCCAGGAAGUUCCACGCUUGGCUGAAUUGAUCCUAUCAUCAGCAACAGGAUGGUUCCUGCUCACUCUGCCCUUGUUUUGCAUGGACAAGGAAAACAGUCCCACCAGUGUAAACAAAGCCUGAGGAGACAAGAUACACAGAAGUGGGUCAGGUGUGUGAACUUUAAAGA